rnacentral:rRNA from 1 species
ACGUAGGAUCCAAGCGUUGUCCGGAUUUACUGGGUGUAAAGGGUGCGCAGGCGGACCAAUAAGUCAGGAGUGAAAUCUCGGCGCUCAACGCCGAAACGUCUUUUGAUACUGUUGGUCUUGAAUAAGCGAGAGAUUCGUGGAAUUCCGAGUGUAGCAGUGAAAUGUGUAGAUAUUCGGAAGAACACCAGAGGCGAAGGCAGCGAAUUGGCGCUUUAUUGACGCUCAGGCACGAAAGCAUGGGGAUCAAACAGGAUUAGAUACCCUGGUAGUCCAUGCCCUAAACGAUGAUCACUUGGUGUCGGCCGCAAGGUCGGUGCCGGAGCUAACGCGUUAAGUGAUCCACCUGGGGAGUACGCUCGCAAGGGUG